AACGUAGGAGGCAAGCGUUAUCCGGAUUUACUGGGCGUAAAGCGCGUGUAGGCGGCUUGAUAAGUCGGACGUGAAAGCUCCUGGCUCAACUGGGAGAGGCCGUUCGAUACUGUCGAGCUUGAGGGCAGUAGAGGGAGGUGGAAUUCCGGGUGUAGCGGUGAAAUGCGUAGAUAUCCGGAGGAACACCAGUGGCGAAGGCGGCCUCCUGGCCUGUCCCUGACGCUCAGACGCGAAAGCUAGGGUAGCGAACGGG
rnacentral:rRNA from 1 species